rnacentral:rRNA from 1 species
CACGUAGGGCGCAAGCGUUGUCCGGAAUUAUUGGGCGUAAAGAGCUCGUAGGCGGUUUGUUACGUCUGCUGUGAAAUCCUAGGGCUUAACCCUGGGCUUGCAGUGGAUACGGGCAGACUAGAGGUAGGUAGGGGAGAAUGGAAUUCCUGGUGUAGCGGUGAAAUGCGCAGAUAUCAGGAGGAACACCGGUGGCGAAGGCGGUUCUCUGGGCCGUAACUGACACUGAGGAGCGAAAGCGUGGGGAGCGAACAGG